AGCGUAGGCGGUUCCUUAAGUCGAAUGUGAAAUCUUCUGGCUUAAUCAGAAGGCGUCAUUUGAUACUGAGGGACUUGAGAGCAGCAGAGGGAAAUGGAACCCCCAGUGUAGCGGUGAAAUGCGUAGAUAUUGGGGAGAACACCAGUGGCGAAGGCGAUUUCCCAGGUUGUUUCUGACGCUGAGGCUCGAAAGCGUGGGGAGCGAAGCGGAUUAGAUACCCGCGUAGUCCACGCCCUAAACGGUGGACACUAGAUAUAGGAGGUAUCGACCCUUUCUGUGUCGAAGCUAACGCUUUAAGUGUCCCGCCUGGGGAGUACGGCCGCAAGGCUGAA
rnacentral:rRNA from 1 species